CUCGUCCCGGCGAAGCUGAAUCAUGUAAACAGCUCCUUAGCAUGUUAACUUCGAUGCCAACUUGUUCACUGUCAAGCAAUUAGUUGUUCAGCGUCCUGUUAUUGUAAUUCCUAUAAACAGUGAGAGACAUGGGUAUACUUUUUUGGAUGAGUCAGGGAUGCCAAAUCUUUGGUAGCACGUAUCCAGAAGUGAGACAGUGGUACUGAAAUUAAAGAAAAUUUAAUGUUCAGAUCCUGGUUAUUUACUGUAAACGCUGUAGAUAAUAUAAUCAAUGCCGCAAUACAAUGGCAAGAAGGCACUGUAGGC